rnacentral:lncRNA from 1 species
UCUUUCAUAAACAGUACACUAAUACUGUUACUUUAUAUUUUUUUAAAAAAUAAGACUUGUAAAUUGAAACCAUAAUCAGUAUAAUAGUACUUUUUUUAAUCCUUUACAAUAAAUGAAGCAAAGUAGCCUAUAUCAAAAGAAUGACCCACCAUUCUGGAACAUUCAUUUGCAGAGAACUUUUUAUUUUUCCAUAGAAGUGAAUAGCCAAAUUCUCAUUCUUCACUUUUCUUCUAAAAAACAAACAAACAAAUCUCUUCAUUAUUUCUCAAAUGUUUUUUUUUGAAGGAUAUAGAAGAGACUCUCUUUGCACUGAUCUAUUCUACCUUGAAAAUUGAUCUUGUUAUGCUACUUUUUCUUCUUCUACUACCUUUUAUUUUGAAAAAUUAUUGAAAGAAAAUCUCCCUAUUCUUUAAUAGAAAAAAAAUUAUGGAUCCGUAGCGUAAUGGUAGAGCGUCUGAUAGAUCGGAAGGCUGUUAGUCCAAUUUUUGUUGGGUCCAUAAUCUCGAUCUACAUUCGGUUAUGCUAUCUUUUUAACAGGUAUGUUCAUUUUCAAUAAUACGAAGAUUUAAACUUAAACUCGACACCAAAAUCAUGCAAAACAGAGCAAUUUAACUUGGCUCUGAUGCCAUUGAAAGAAAAAUACGGAGCCAAAUAGUGUACCUUGGUAAAUUUUACAGCGGAUGAAACUGACUUUUCUACCGAAAGAAUCUGUCCAAGUCUUCUUUGAAUCUCUUAGAAGCAGAGCUUGAAUCACAAACUAAAUGCUCUCGUUUUGGUGUUAUCGUUAAUUUCGAUUCUUUAUUUUAUGAACCAAUUUUCUCUGUGUUCUCUGUAUUUUUCUUGUCAGAAGAAAAGGAGGUACGUAUUGCAAAUUUUGGGAUGGGAACAGUUACUUUUUAAUCGUUCUCCCUUUUUCUUUUGAAUUAAUCUCAAUCUGACUAAGAAACAGGUCGGUUUGGUUCAGUUCGGUUCAGUUCGGGUCGGGUCAGAUCGGGUCGGGUCGGUCCACAUGGGUGACCCAUGACCCAUAAUCUAAUAGAAAACAAGUUGUUUUCUUAUUUAUUUGUUGAAAAAUAUUUUCAAGUGUUUGAUUGGUGAAUGAAAAAUAUUUUUCAGAAUAUACAUUUUAAUAUUUAGCGAAAGAGUAGAAAAUACUUUUUAGAUAAUUUUGACCCCGAAAAAUACUUUUUUUAGGGUGUGUUUGGUAUGGAGGAGAAAAAUAUUUUCUUGAAAAAUAAGUUGUUUUUUACUUAUAUUCUUGUGUUCGUUAAACAAGUAGGAAAAUAUUUUCUAAAAGUAUUUGUAUAUAUUUAACAAAAAUGAUAAGAAUGAAUAAGGUAAGAAGGAUGGGGUAAGAAAAAGAUUUUGAAAUUUAUUUUAAUCAAUAAAUUAAAAAAUUAAAUCUUUAUUAUGGAGGGAGAGGGCUGGUUGGGGGGAGGGGGAGGUGCGGCUAGUCUGAGGUGGGGGUCGGGGGGGGAGGGGGAGGGAAGAAAAAAUUAAAACUUUUUUACAAAAUAAAUUUAAAAAAAUUAUUUUUUUCAAGGGUGGGGGCCUGGUAGGGGUAGGGGUAGGGGUGUCGGGUGGGUGGUGGGGUAAGAAAAAAUUUGAUUUUUUUUUAAACAAAUAAAUAAUUUUUCUGGAGGGGGAUGGGGUUAGGGGAUGAGGUAAUAAAAAAAGUUGAAAUAAUUUUUUUGGAUGGGGUGGUAAGGGAUUGAUGGUCGGAGCAGGGGUGAGUGAUUUUGAGAGUUGUGUGAACAUUUCAAUUUGAGGGUGAGCUUGAAAGAGAGUCUUGAAAAUAUUUUUUCUACUUUUUGAAUGAAAAUCAUUUUCCUUAAAUUGAGGAAAAUAAGUUGACCCCCUAUCCGACUCACACUUAUUCCAUCUUUUUUCCCUUAGCAGAAUCCACAUAACUCUCAUAUAUACACCUCCAUUUUUCAAUUUAGAAAAACACACAUAUAGAAAAGGGAGGAGGAAGAUCACUAGAAUACAAUAGACACACACCUCACAAUACACCACUCCUCCGUCGUCACUGCCAUACAUACACACAAAAUGCUCAUACCUUAAUAAAACACACACACAGACGCCUCUCCUACACUUUCAUAUGCACACGACAUCAUCAAAAAACAUAUACCUCAUCAUCAAACGCACACACACAGAACUGCUAAACUCACAAACACAGAGAAAUUAGAGAGAGAGAUCGAUGGAGAAAAGAGAAAAUAGAGGACAAGCAGAAAACAUAUAUAUAGAGAGAGAAAUCACGUGGGGAGGGAGUUAUGAUUUUCUGGCUAAAUUUCACCAAAAAUGUAUCUCCACCGACAAAACAAUCCCACUGGCGAAGCAAUCCCACUAGGAAACACCAGAACCACCUUCAUCACCCACCCAAAAUUCAUAAAGCAGUGACCAAUAUCAGCGCAGAAGUCCAUGAGAUGCUCGAAAUUUCACCGGAGAUGUGCCAAAAAUGAUCAAAAUAUCCUAAACAUCGGGAAAACAAUGAGUUUAUCUUUGGGAUUUUGGGAAUUGAGUUCGAGGUCUGUUCGUGGUUCAUGGGUUCACGAGGCUCCCGUCGCUAUUAGAAUUGGUUCAAGUUGAUUGAAUAAAAGUAACAUUGAGGUUCAAUUCUAUCUUCUCUCCUCUUAUUUUUUAUAAGAUUGUGAAUGAUUUGUGUAUUUGGCAUGUUUAAAUCUUUGUUGUGUGUUGGUUGAUGUUGGAUUUGGAUAUGAAAACUUGGAUUGGUAGUCGAAAAAUUGGUUAAUUAUUUUGAGAAUGAAUUCAGGGAGAGGUUGAAAAUUGAUAAAAGUGAAUAUUGAUCUAUUUUGAUUCAUUGAUGGUUGUCUAAUUUGAAAUGGAUUUUAAUUUUUAUCGAACAUGAUAGUUUCAUAUUUUAGGUCGAGGAUCGACAAGAAAAUCUUAGGUCUUGGGUAGGCAACUCGUAGGAUUCUAUAUCAUCGAAUGCGUAUGUGUCUAUGUUGAGUGAUUUCUCUACUUUUACCGCAUUUCAUAAAAAAUGUAUUCAUUAGUCGGGGAAUGCCCCGAGGCCACAUUGCACUUAUUUACCGGAGAAUGCUCCGAAGUAUUAUGUACGUAAAGGAGGUUUGUGAUCAAGGCCCGAGGAGUCGGGUGGAGCUUAGUAUAGGAUCAGUUUAGAAUAGGAUUUACAUUUCUGUAUUUAUCUAUUUUUGGGACUGUAUAAUUCAGACUGGACAUUAUUUUGAUUUUGAACUUUGUUUGAUUUGUUUGUUUUCUUGUUUUAUGUGUUUUUUGGUUUUAUAUAUUUCAUAGUGUCAUAUUAGUCGAUAUACUCCACGAAGCGAUCAUGGUCGAACUAUGGGAUCGAGGGGUGCCUAAUACCUUUCCUUCGAUCAACGAAAUUUCUUAACUGAAAUCUCUAUUCGUGGAUCAAUUUUGAAAGAUUCAAAAAUUAUUUUUAAAAAGGAUUUUCAAAGUGACUUGGCAUACCAGAUUAUGCCAAGUGGCGACUCUAAAUUUUAUUUGUUAAAUAUCUUUUUCGUAAUAAAUUAUUUUCUUUUGUCACUUAAUAAUAAAACCCUUUCAAAUCUAAAAUUAUAUUCUUUUUGGUAUAAGAGGGGUGUGACAAUACGGACAAGUUUUUGUGAUUUACAAGUAAAGACUAAUUGCAUAUGAAUAAGUAGGUUUCUCUUUGAACUUUUCGUAGUGAACUUAUAUUGGAUGCACUUGGUCAAUCAGUAGAUGCGAUAUCUUUAAACCGUCGAACUUUGGUGUACACCUAGACAAUAUAAGUCACACAACCAACCAUUUAACAUUUAUGAUCCUCACAAUUUUAUUCGUUUCUAUCAUGAACACUAUCUAAUUUCUUGAGAGCUUAGAUAAUAGACCUUUACUAUCACUCCUUAAAUUAGUUUCCACUUCACCCUCUCAUAAUGAUUCCUAAGCAUUUAAUCCUAUAGAUUAAACUAUUUGAUCAACUUGUUAAACUUAUAAGCUAUAAAAAAGCUUUAAUCUAUAAGCCUUAUCCUUAUUUUUUGAAUAUUAUUUUCAUCAUGAGAUAGACAAUGUUGAACAGUCAGUCAUCACUUUAUUUAAUCUCCUUUAACUUAGCUUUAGGAAUCUCUAGUCUUCUAGAUAGAGUUACUGCCGCGAUGACUUGUCUUAGGCCAUAAACCCAUUUUUCUUGAUGAUCUCUCAACUCCCUCUCUAGUUAGGCCUUUUGUAAAUGGAUUUGACACAUUACCCUUUGGCUUUAUAUAGUCAGUUGUGAUAAUUCUACUAGAGAGUAGUUCUUUAACGAUGUUAUGUUUUUAUCUUAUAUGACGAGAUUUACCAUUAUACAUCAUAUUCUCUAUCCUACCUAUUAUAGCUUGACAAUCACAAUAUAUGCAUAUUGGUACCAAAGGUUUGGUCCAAUAAGGAAUAUCUUUUAAGAAAUUCCAAAGCCAUUCAGCUUCUUUACCAACCAUAUCUAAAGAGAUAAAUUUUGAUUCCGUUGUAGUAAAAGCAAUACAUUUCUAUUUGGAUGAUUUUCGAGAGACUUCUCCUCCACCAAGAGUAAAUACAUAUCCAUUGGAUUUUACUUUAUUUGGCCCGGUAAUUCAAUUUGCACCAUUAUAUCCUUUAAUUACUGUUGGAUAUUUGUUAUAAUGUAAAUCAUAGUUUUGAGUAUGUUUUAGAUACUCCUAAACUCUUUUCAUUUCCAUCUAAUGAGUUUGAUUGAAAUUGCUUGUGUACCGACUCAAUUUACUAACAGCACAUGCUAUACCUGAUUGCAUAUGAUUCAUGAUGUACAUCAAAGUUUUCAACACUUGCAUAGUCCAAUUGUAAGUCACUUUCACCUUCAUUCCUUUGAAGUGCGAAGUUUACAUCUUUUGGCAUCUUGGCAAUAUUAAAAUUCAAAUACUUAAAUUUGUCAAGUACAUUUUCAAUGUAAUGAGACUAUGACAAUGCUAAAUCUUGUGGAGUUCUAUAAAUUCUUAUCUAUGCUAAAUGGUCAAGACAAUAAACCACUGAUAGUGCAACCAACAUUCAAAGGGUCAUUAUCUUUAUUACUGAUGAGUAUAUAUCAAAAUAGACAAGAUCAUCUUUUUUUCUAAAGCUUUUAACAAAAAGUCUUGCCUUGUACUGUUAAUAGUAACGAGUAUGUGUCAAAAUAGACAAGACCUUCAUUUUUUCUAAAGCCUUUAACGAAAAGUUUUGCCUUGUGUUGUUAAUAGUUCCAUCAAAUUUUAUUUUCAUUUUAAAUAAUUAUUUUGAACCUAAAGGUUUAUUUCCUAGAGGAAGAUCUUCUAACUCCCACAUAUGGUUGUUCAAGAUUGAAUUAAUCUCACUGUUGAUAGUCUUUUCCAAAAGGAUGAGUUCAUAGAAUUUGAAUGUUUAACGCUCAUUUUUAAGAAGAAAUAUA